rnacentral:tRNA from 1 species
GGGCGCUUAGCUCAGUUGGUAGAGCAGAUGACUCUUAAUCAUCGGGUCCACGGUUCGAGCCCGUGAGCGCCCA